AUUGAACGCUGGCGGCACGCUUAACACAUGCAAGUCGAACGGCAGCGGGGGGAGUUUAGGCUUCCUGCCGGCGAGUGGCGAACGGGUGAGUAACGCGUAGGGAUCUGCCUGUUAGAGGGGGAUAAGCCGUGGAAACGCGGUCUAAUACCGCAUACGCCCUAAGGGGGAAAGUAUGGGACCGAAAGGCCAUACGCUAACAGAUGAACCUGCGUUAGAUUAGCUAGUUGGUAGGGUAAAGGCCUACCAAGGCGACGAUCUAUAGCUGGUCUGAGGAUGACCAGCCACACUGGAACUGAGAUACGGACCAGACUCCUACGGGAGGCAGCAGUGGGAGUAUUGGACAAUGGGGGCAACCCUGAUCCAGCGAUGCCGCGUGUGUGAAGAAGGCCUGAGGGUUGUAAAGCACUUUAGUUGGGGAGGAAAGCCUGAGGAUGAAUAAGCCUUAGGGGAGACGUUACCCAAAGAAUAAGCACCGGCUAACUCUGUGCCAGCCGCCGCGGUAA
rnacentral:rRNA from 1 species